UACGUAGGGUCCAAGCGUUGUCCGGAUUUAUUGGGCGUAAAGAGCUCGUAGGCGGUCUGUCGCGUCUGCUGUGAAAACUCAGGGCUUAACCCUGAGCUUGCAGUGGGUACGGGCAGACUAGAGUGCGGUAGGGGAGACUGGAAUUCCUGGUGUAGCGGUGAAAUGCGCAGAUAUCAGGAGGAACACCGGUGGCGAAGGCGGGUCUCUGGGCCGAUACUGACGCUGAGGAGCGAAAGCGUGGGGAGCGAACAGG
rnacentral:rRNA from 1 species